rfam:Daucus carota subsp. sativus cultivar DH1 chromosome 8, whole genome shotgun sequence.
AGGAGAUGUGAGGAUACCUAUCCAUAUAAUCUGCAGUUGUAUGAAGAACAAAACAUGCACUACCAUCUGAUCUCCA